rnacentral:rRNA from 1 species
UGGGUAACCUGCCUCAAAGAGGGGAAUAGCCUCCCGAAAGGGAGAUUAAUACCGCAUAAUAUGUUUAAGUCGCAUGACUUUAACAUCAAAGGAUUUUCUUUUAGAAAUUCCACUUUGAGAUGGACCCGCGGCGCAUUAGCUAGUUGGCGAGGUAACGGCUCACCAAGGCAACGAUGCGUAGCCGACCUGAGAGGGUGAUCGGCCACAUUGGAACUGAGACACGGUCCAGCUCCGUAGGGAGG